GUUCUAUCCCCCUUCAGUUGCAUGCAUUCAAGGACACCUUCAAGACAUCAUUUGGAGAAAGCACAUUCAUAGAAUAGUUGGUCAAUCAUUUCUGGCAUGUCCUCACAAAGUAAACAUGAAGUAUCUUGGGUAAUCCCCAUUUUAUAAAGUCUAUCUCUUGUCAAGGGAUGUUUAUACAUCAUUAUCCAAUAAAUGUAACCAUGUUUGGGUAUUGUAACAGCACCCCAGGUUUCUCUCCACCAUUCCCAUGGGCUACCAGUACCUUUCUUUCAUUGGUACCCACUUUGAAUUGUGUAUUUUCCGCUGCUUGUGAACCAUCCAUCUCCUCGAUAUCCAGUAGCAAAUGUAUCCCUUAAUGACAUAUCUUUUUCCAAUACCAGCUGGAGUUUGAUAGAGCAUUGUAUUUCCACCAAUUCACCCAUUUGAGAUAUAUAUGAUUAAUCUAUUUUACCCAUAAGUUGUCACUUUUGUUGGCAAUAUUCCACACAUACUUCCCUAUUGUUGCUUCAUUUCCUAUCACAUAAUCAGUGAUGCAUAAACCCUCUUCCUUCUUUGGUGCACACGCAGUCUCCCAGGCUAUGAGAGGAGACUUUGAUGUACGUACUUGCUCGCUCAACAAAAAGCUUUCCCACUUCACAAAAAGCUCCUACAUGCUAUGGUGAUAUCCUCUGGCACCAUCUUUGUCAAGAUGAACAUAAAUGACUAGUAAGUAUGCAUGUGCAUGAGAACUCAGUUAACCAGUUGUGCUCUCCCUGUGUAGGACAAGUUCCUAGUUCCUCAUGUGCUUAUUCGAUUCACCAUCUUAUCUCGAUUCACCAUCUUGUCCACUAACAUCUCAUAAUCCACCACUAAAAACUUCUUGGGAGAAAUUGGCAUCCCAAGGUAAUUGAAAAGUAGUUUGCCCUUUGUAUAACAGUAAGCUAGCAAAGAUCAUCCAUAUCCUUUUUGUUCUUGUUGGCUAUAAACAUAUUGGACUUCCUUACAUUAGUUGUAAGCCUAUAUGUUGUUGAAAAUAUUACCAUCCCCAGUAGCAUAAGCUUAACAAAUUCAAACUUACCCUUUCUAAAUAUAAGCACAUCAUCUGCAAAACAAAGGUGAUUGAGUCGUAGUUGCUCGUAUUUUGUAUGGUUUGGAAUGCAUUUUGUGUCAACACCCAUUUUAUCAGAAAAGAAAAAUACUCAUACAUAUCACAAAUAGCAGGGAUGAAAUGGGGUCACCCUGCCUCAACCCUCUCUUCUCUUUAAUAUCUCCAUGUACUUCCUCAUUGAUUACUAGUGUAUACAGUGUCAAUGUUAUACAUCCUAUUGCCCAUUUGAUGAACUAUUAUGGAAAUUUCAGUAAAUAUAACAUUCUUCAAUAAAAUUCCAUUCCACACUAUUGUAGGCCUUCUUCAAGUCAACCUUCAAAAGACAGCUUUUGUUGGUAUUCUUUCUAUUAUAUAGUCGAACUAAGUCCUGAUACACCAAUAUACUUUGCACAAUACUUCUACCAGCCACAAGAGCACUUUGACUCUCAGUAAUUAUACUUGGGAAUACUAUUUUCAAGCUGUUGCAAAGUAUCUUUGAAACCACCUUAUAUAUUGUAUUGUAAUACGCUAUUGGUCUACAAUCAAUUACAUUUUCAGCAUGUUUAGUCUUAGGGGUUAGAAUGAUUAUUUUAUCGUUCUUUCCUUUAAGCAUCUCACCAGUUCGAAUGUACUCAGUAACCCCUGCUAUUAAAUCUUCUCCCACUGUUGUUCAAUAAUCUUAAAAAAAUUAUUCCCAUCUAGGCCAGAGGCCUUAUUUCCAUCUAUUGCCCAUGCUGCUUGUUUUAUCUAUUCUUAUGUAAUGUCCUCUUCCAGUAUAUCCCUAUUAUCUGGGCUAAUAAAGGGACCUUAUUGUACAAUAAAUCUACUAGAAUGUUGCCUGAUUUUAGUGCUUGUACCCAACAACUCUAUAUAGUUGUCGGUGAAUGCUUGGUUGAUUCUAGACUCCAUGUUGAUCUUUAAUUAUGAAUAUCUUAUUGUGAAUUCUCCUAGUCUUAAAGAUGCUAGGAUAAAGCUAAGUAUUCAAAUCUCUCUCCAUAAUCCAUUGGGCUUUGCUUUUUAGCAUCAGAUAUAUUUGUUUUUCUUUCUUUAGUUCAUUAUAUUCUUGCCCUGAUAUUUUCUUUUCCUCGUGUAACAUCACAUUCAAUGGGUCCUUUUGAAUUUGGUUCUAGCAAUUGUGCAGUUUCUUUUGGCCUUCUCCACUCUUAAUUCAAUAUCACUGAAUCUCCCAGCAAUGAUUUCUUUAAGGAUUAUAACAACCUAUUAAGCUUCCCACAACUUGGAACAUUCUCCUACCACUACAUUUUUGCCAACUUGCCUUUACCUUUUCUUGCAACUCUGGAGCCAAUUCUCCAUAUGUUGAAGUAUUUAAAUAGUCUUCGUCUUUGCACCUUUUGAUCUUUCUAUUGGAUAAUAGUUGGGUAGUGGUCAUAUGUCACUCCAGUCAUGAAAUGUGCUUCAAAAGCAGGUAAAUUUAUCACCCAUUCGCUAUGGUCAAGCAUUUGAUUGAUCUUGUUGUAACAUUAACACUGUUUUUUAUUGCAUGUAAAGUAAGCACCAGAGGAUUUCAUGUCCUGCAAGUCACAAUUUGCCAUACAUUUUCUAAAAAUUUUUUAUCUCAGCAAGAUUCACUAGAUUACCCAGUAUUUCCCCUGCAUUAAGUACACAAUUAAAAUUGUCCAUUAUUGGCCAUGGUCCAGUCAUUUGUGUUCCUAGAUUCUCCAGGUCCACCCAUAACUCUCUUCUUAGUACAUUCUCCAGGUCCAUCCAUAACUCUCUUCUUAGUACUUGGUCAUUAUAACUAUGGACCAUAGUAAAGCCAAAACACCUGUUGUGUCCCCCUAUGUGUCAACUCACUAUGAAUAAUCUGAGUUGUAGUAUUACGUAUAUGUGUAUCAUAUGUAUUAGGUUUCCACACAAACCUAAUCCUCCCUCCUUAAUGAUCUAUCAAGUUAGCUAAGAAAUACCAAUCCUUGCAAAGAUUGAAAUCCACCUACUAAGAUUUAUUCCUCUUAAUCUUAUUUCCAUUAGACCAAACAGUUUAACAGAAUCUGAAUGCAUAAAUAACUACACUUCCUUCUCCUUCUCAAGUCUGUUUAGCCCUCUGGUGUUCCAAAACACAAUUUUAUCUAUUGGGAAGGGGUUGGCCCCCUCUAUUUUGCCUAGGAGUAGAACCCUUCUGAAGGACAUGCUUUGAUGCACAUAGUAUUUCCUCUUUCUCCACCUGAUUGUGCUCUCAUUGUAUGCAUUAUUACUAACUGUCACAGCUGUAGAGUUAGCACAAAUUCUUCACCCAAGAGAUGUUACUUCUUUGAAAGUGUAUGGUAUCUUUUCUCCAUCUUUCCUCUUUGUCGAACUAUGUUGUUUAUUCUUCUCUUAUGGUUGUUCGCUUUGCCCCCUUUGCUGCCUUGCUACAUUCUCUUUGCCCUACACAUUAUUAUCUUCUUGUUACCUUCUACAGUGUUGAACAUCAUGUCGAAAGUUCUUACAUUUCGUGCAAAACACCUACUUUCAUUCAUAGUCCAGACAUUGUUCAAUGAUCUUUCCAUAGUUAUUCUCAAACAUAAUCCUCGUUGGAUACUUCUUGUUCAGUGGUAUCUCAAUUAAUAUUCGUGCAUAGGUCAUUCUCUCCUUCUUCAUUGCAGCCUAUCUGCCUUUAAGGGAUUUUUUUAACUAAGAUAACAAUUUUGGUUAGAGCAUUCUUGCCCCAAUACUUGACAUCUAGACCAGGUAAUCUGAUUCAAAUGGGUACUUUAUCCAUACAAUCCUUGGUCACCUCAAUGUCUGGACUCCAAGGCUUCACCGCUAUUGGCUUGCAAUUGAACAUUUGAACACAUCCCUCUAUUGCAUUUUUUCUAUUCGCCUAGGUAUGGAAACGGACUAAGAACUCUCCCCAAUUCACCUAGUCUACUUUAUCAAUCCUCAUAUCUUUCCAAAUUCAAUUAAAAAAAACCAUUAGUAAUUGGAGAGGGUUUGGCCCCAAUACAUAGCACACAAUAUCUGUACUCCCGGACUCAAUCUCUUCCUAGAUGUCAUCAAGUAAGAUUUUGACACUAGAGUUUGAUUUAGACGCACUGAAAUCAAAUCCUUCAUUAGCAAUACCUUUCCCUACUCUUGAACUCCACAAAUUUGCCACUGUAGUUGUUGAUUUUGCAAUACCAUCACUAGAUCCUCCUAUAGCUUCCUCAUCCACUAGAUCUGGACAUGAUUUCUCCAAGAUGGUAUAGCUUUUGUUGUAGGCCUCCCCAGAUUUGGGCUCAACUGGAAGGGGGUAAUCCCUUGGUGUAGAUUGAUACUUUUGGUUUGGUUUGCAUCACACGAUUGUGGUAUCCCUCGAAUUCGCAUGCCUUUGCUUGUUUGGAUACGUUGUCCUCUCAUUCCCAUCCAUGAUAAAAAAUUGUUGGUGAAAUCAGCAAUCAUCGAGAGGAAUCGCCAUCCUAGAAAGAGAGAGCGCCUAUUUUUUAUUUUAUCCAAUAAAAAUUAAAGAAGUUUACUUUUUCUUAAUAGCAUCAGAUCUUAACUACUCAGUUGUUACGUCCACUUUGUAUGCAUUGUCUCUGAUCCUUUCAAGCAUUUGAAAGGGUCCAUCUCAUCUUGACAUAAUCUUGUUCUUUCUUUUGCUUGGAAAUAUAUCUUUUCUAAAGUGAAUCCAUACCCAAUCACCAGGUACAAAGGAAAAUAGAGUUGGAAGUGAGUAAGAUGAAAUUAGGAAGAAAAAUCUUCAAAAAUUGAAGUCUCUGCUUUGACAACGAGUCAUUGGAUGAUGCUACGACUCAUCAUCCAAGUCGUUGUAUGACCAGUGAAGAAAUCAAAGAAAAAUAAUAAAGUAAACACCGGCUACGACUCAUAUGAUCUAACUAUGAUUUAUAGUUAAUAUUGAUUUGAGCAAAAAUAUGACAAAGUACUGAAAGAAUUUAAGUCUGAUCCCAGUGGAAAUGAUGUCGGUGAUAAGUUAUGGAAUCUGACUAUGACUCAUAGGACAGGUCAUCCAAAGUAUAUGGAAUAAAGAUCUAAAAGCUGAAAAGCUACUGCAGAAGCAACGAUUCAGGAAAUAACUCAUCAGGAGAUGUGAUGAGUCAUCAUCAAAGAGCAAUAAAAAUAGGAUAGGAGUAGACAACGAGUUAUCAUUAUUCCAAACGGCUCGUUGUCUGAGGCAUUACCACUGCCGUCCUUAUUUACAUAUUUAGUUUUUGCUAGAAUUUUUAUGAUUUAUUAUGUAACUAUAAAUUCCCCAUGGAUGUUUUGUUAUUAGUUUACACACUCCUUAUACUUAUAACAUUAUAUUGAUCCUGAGAUACACUUUUGAUCUUGGAAUCCUUAUUCUUGAUUUUUAUGAUUUGAUAUUAAUUUGAGA